rnacentral:rRNA from 1 species
UCCGAAGGGUGCUAGCGUUGUUCGGAAUUACUGGGCGUAAAGCGCGCGUAGGCGGCUUUUCAAGUCAGGGGUGAAAUCCCACGGCUCAACCGUGGAAUUGCCUUUGAAACUGUGAAGCUAGAGUGUCGGAGGGGAUAGCGGAAUUGCUAAUGUAGAGGUGAAAUUCGUAGAUAUUAGCAGGAACACCGGUGGCGAAGGCGGCUAUCUGGACGACAACUGACGCUGAGGCGCGAAAGCGUGGGGAUCAAACAGG